rnacentral:tRNA from 3 species
GGCGGGGUAGCUCAGUUGGUUAGAGCAGCGGAAUCAUAAUCCGCGUGUCGGGGGUUCGAGUCCCUCCCCCGCUACCA